GCGCCUGUAGCUCAGUUGGAUAGAGCGUCGGACUUCGAAUCCGUGCGUCGGGGGUUCGAAUCCCUCCAGGCGUGCCA
rnacentral:tRNA from 2 species